UGUAUGUCUUUGCUACAACUACAAGUAACGCAUAGUGAGUUUUCACACCAUUCAAGACAAUGAUGGAAGUGCAUAUGUAUAUAAAUCACACAAUACUAUCAUGUCACGUGGUAUAGUACAUGGCUAAUUCACUGGUUUUGUUCUAUUAAGAUGGCUAAGAGUUUUCAUAUGUUGUCGGCAAAGAAUUAACAAAAUCCAUCACAAGAAUACACACUGAUUAGUUUAUAUCUCAAUCUAUAUUUGCAAAGUGAGCUAUU
rnacentral:lncRNA from 1 species